rnacentral:rRNA from 1 species
CUGGACAUACCACCCUGAAUGCACCGAUUUCCUCUGAUCUUGGAAGCUAAGCAGGAUCGGGCCUGGUUAGUACUUGGAUGGACGAAUGACAAGCAGUUCAAU